rnacentral:rRNA from 1 species
CAGCACCUCAAGUGGUCAGGAUGAUUAUUGGGCCUAAAGCAUCCGUAGCCUGUUCUAUAAGUUUCCGGUUAAAUCCAUUAGCUCAACUAAUGGGCCGCCGAAAAUACUGUGGAACUAGGGAGUGGGAGAGGUAGACGGUACUCGGUAGGAAGGGGUAAAAUCCUUUGAUCUAUUGAUGACCACCUGUGGCGAAGGCGGUCUACCAGAACACGUUCGACGGUGAGGGAUGAAAGCUGGGGGAGCAAACCGGAUUAGAUACCCGAGUAGUCC